rnacentral:pre_miRNA from 8 species
CAGGGCCCUGACUGGGAUAUCAUCAUAUACUGUAAGUUUGCAACGAGACACUACAGUAUAGAUGAUGUACUAGUCCGGGUGCUCC